rnacentral:rRNA from 1 species
UACGUAGGUGGCAAGCGUUGUCCGGAAUUAUUUGGGCGUAAAGCGCGCGCAGGCGGUCCUUUAAGUCUGAUGUGAAAGCCCACGGCUCAACCGUGGAGGGUCAUUGGAAACUGGGGGACUUGAGUGCAGAAGAGGAAAGCGGAAUUCCACGUGUAGCGGUGAAAUGCGUAGAGAUGUGAGGAACACUAGUGGCGAAGGCGGCUUUCUGGUCUGUAUCUGACGCUAAGGCACGAAAGCGUGGGAGCGAACGG